CGCUCAAAUGCUUUGCAUGUUUAGAAGCACAUACCUGUGAGAGCAGCUUUUCUCUGUGAUGAAGACGCAUGUUAAUUUGCUAAACACCGAGUUAGUGCCACAAAAUACAUCAAACUUUCCAGCUUUCUCAUUUUCAUUGUCCCACUAUAAUUAAUUGCAUGUGUGUAGUUUGAAUGCUAUUUAUUUGUUCUACAGUAAAUACAAAUCCAUCAGCAUUUAUGUAUUUUGUAUUAUAGAUAAAUGGAGAUUCAAAAAGUGACACUGCCACAUGUAAGCUACACUCUUAUGAGCUCAGACGCUAUACAGCGGCUUUUAACAGCCAGUUGAAUUUGUAAAAAAUAAUGCUGCCAUUUUGCUUACGGCUCAUUUGUUUGCUUAGCACUGUAAAAACUCCACGAUCGUGCAGAGGAAAGGGAAAUGUUGCUGGAGGCUGACUUUACUGGCAGCAGUAUUUACUGCACUGCUGUUUUCUCACAGUGCUGUUUGCUAAGUGUCAAAUGUGGAAAGCAUACAUUGUUUGGUAACAUUAACGGAAGUUGUCUCUGAUCUGAUUAAGCCGAGACCUUAACCCUGAAGAUGUUAUUAGUGCUGUCUGUGGUCGUCAAUGUGAUCUCUCUGGCUGUUUACCUGUACAAGCGCCAAACGUGGAGACAGGAGAGGAUACAGUGGGCAGACACACCGCUGCCCUCUACAAAAGGGGAGGUAGAGACCACAUAUUUAAUGAAGCCUUUUGGGUGUAACUCCGUCCUCACAUAUUCAAUUGAUGAUGAUGAUAGGAAAAGUGUUGCUGUUGAAGAGGACAAGCAGCAUUAAAGACCCUACUCACCGUAGAUCUUAAUGAAACACAGCUGUGGGAUGUGACAAAUGCCAGUGAAGGGCAAUAGUUUGCAAAUACCUUGGGCCCCAGACUGAAAGUGAACAAGCUGCAACAUGCCUGCUGCUACAUGCCUGCUGCAACAUGCCUGCUGUCUCAGCCGCGGAAGGUAUUGCCCCAGCACUAAGUGUAAGGGAAUUGAAGUGCAGCAGGACUGUAUAGAGUCUAAUUGACUGAGCUACUUGUCUGGACUAAAUUUGAAGAAUUUGUACCCCUGUGACCAAACAGAAACACAUUGAGAUAUUCACAGGAGAGGGAGUUUGUUUUACCACAGACAAGAGAGAGGGCCAAAGGUUAAAACACCGCAAUGAAAUAUUUGCCGUCAAACCCAAUUCGUCUAAUGGGUAUUAUAAUCAAAAUAAAGAAACUAGUACAGGCCUUUUGUUAGAUAGACAGGUCAUGACAAUAUUAAUAAUAAUCUUUAUUUGUAUAUACAAGAAUUGCAGCCCAAAGUGCUUCACAGCAAAAACAUAACAAUUAGUACAAGAUUAGACAGAAUAAGAGCAUUUACUAUAUGAACUAUAACAAAGCUGAUAAGCCGAAUACUACUAAAGUUAUCGAAUGUUUGCUUCUGAGAAUAAAUACACAGGCAACACUGUUUUUACCAACCAGGACACGUAAUACCUGACCGACACAUAUAUUUCACAGUAUGUAGGGCCUUGUGAAUGUGCAUGCAGCUUUUGUGUUACCUAACUUCACUAUACAGUUUGAAUCUAGUAAUAACAUUACAGCUUUAAUGUCUCCAUUGAUAAAGUAUUUUUACUCACUCCUUCAAUCCAGUCCAACCGUCCAAAGCCGUUAGAGAAAUAAUGCAUGUGACGCAAACUGCACAUUUUGUGGGACGAUGGCUCAGUGAGCCUUUUGCAGCUUUUUGGUGUUUUAAAAUGUCGCCUGAUUUUCUUUAUGUAACAGUCAGACAGAGCAGCAGACAAAGUUCUCUGGGCAUUAGAAACAAAAAAAAGUUUAUUUAUUUGUUUGUUUUGUUGUUUUUUGUUUAGUUUGAUUGUGAUGAAGAUGAAGCUGAAAUGCUGGUCGUGCGCCAAAGAAAGAACAUUUGAAAUGCAUCUAUAUGUGAGCUGCCCAGAGAUUUAUAUUUAUUAUAAUAAAAUGUUAUAAUAACGCAGUCUGAUCCACAGCAUUUUGACCAAUCUUUCAUAAACUGUAAAAACAACCUGACGUUUAUGUGAAAAGUUAUUUAAAACGUAGUUAUUCUGGAUAGGUUCUCCCUCAGACGAGCUUCACAAAUAGAAGCUCUUUGUGUUUAAUGUCAAAUAAACUGUCCACUUAAACAUAUAUAUUCUUUGGACAUGUUACAAAUGGCUCUCAAACAAAUGCAUAUCUAAUACAAAUGAUUUAUGUCAUUUUCUUUUCUGCCAUCCAGAACAAAUGUCAAUAUCUUAUCAGUUGAUAACAUAGAAAUAUCAUUUCAUAAUCAUAACAUACCACCCAUCUGCCUCUCAUAAAUUUGGCAUUUAGCAAGUGUUGUGCUUUGCUUGUAUAUUUUUUAUUAAGUCAUCCAGUUUAUUUAUGGAGCUUUUAACAGACUGAAGAAGAUUGUCCCAGUGUGUCUGCAUGUGUGUAUGUAGGUGAGGUUUUAAUACACGCAGCCAGGAUGAAAGUACUUGUGCAUACAGCUUAGUGUUUAAUAAUAACAGACUGAAGUAUGAGAAAUGUGAGGAGGCGGAAAGAAUGUCACUGGUUGAGAUAAUUACUAAAUUACUUUUGUUUUUCACUCACUUCAGUUAAAGCUGGCCCGUUAGUUCGCUGAGGUUCAGCUCCUCGCUUGUAGUUGUUCCAUGAGACCAGCAGUAGUUGCAUUACAUUAAAGGUCUACAUUAAAAUAAAAAAUGUUCUACUGAUUAAAAGUUAACUCUCGAAAACAAAAGAUCGUUGAGUAUUCAUCAUUUUGGCAGCAUGUUUCAGAGAUAAAGUGGAGUGUGCUCAAUCCUGUUAUGAAAAGCAAACGAAACAUCUAAGUGAUGCCAGGUCUGUUUGUAUUAUUUAACUCCUUUGGUACUUUUUGCAUUGUAUGUUUGUAUUGUAAAAUGUAUUGUGAAAAUGGGAAGAAAUGUAUUCUUACUGACUGUACAAUGUGUUUUGUGUAUAAUUGUUAUGUGUUUAUAGCUGACCAAAGUUCUACACAUAACAGCUUUAAUAUGUGCAUACAUCAUGACAUACCUUAACAAAUAAAGUCAUAAUAAUCUGA